GAGAUUCUGAAGACAUCUGUGCCCCGCACACAGCUCCACCAAAGUUCAGUCCAGACAACCUCUUUGCUCUCCUUCCCAAGGCAGUUUUAGAAAGAAGUGGAGAGUCUUGUCUGGAGACAUGUACUGGGGUAGUCCCCAGUCUGGAGAACUACCAGUUCUGGGGAGCUGGAGGUCAGUUUGUUUCUCCCAUCCCUUGCUGGUACUGGGGAUAUCCCAGUGACCAGUGAGGUCUCAUGGUCUCUCUACAGGUGGGACUCAAAAUCAAGCAAGGGAAGAGGCCUGAGGCACCCUUGGAAGGACAUGGAGAUUUUAGCCAGGAGGCAAGUGUUGGGGUAGGCUUGGAGAGCAUCCAGUGUGGGGAACUGGAGGGCAGUUUGUUCCUCCCAUCCCUUCCUGGUAUUGGGGACAUCCCAGUGAUCAGUGAGGUCUCAUGAUCUCUCUACAGGAGGGACCCCAAAUCAAGUGGGGGAAGAGGCCUGAGGUAACAUGAGUUCUACUGUCUCCAGACACUCUCCUCUCAUGGCCACAACCGCAUUCCAACAAGUCCAAUCCAUACAACCUCUUUGCUCUCCUUCUCUAGGCACGCUUGGAAGGAAGUGGAGGUUUUAGCCAGGAGGCAAGUACUGGGGUCGCUUUGGAGAGCAUCCAGUGUGGGGAACUGAAGGGCAGUUUGUUCCUCCCAUCCCUUGCUGGUACUGGGGACAUCCCAGUGAUCAGUGAGGUCUCAUGAUCUCUCUACAGGAGGGACCCCAAAUCAAGCGGGAGAAGAGGCCUGAGGUAGGUAUCAUGAGUUCUACUGUCCCCAGACACUCCCCUCUCAUGAUCACAACCACAGCCCCACAAAGUCCAAUCCAUACAACCUCUUUGCUCUCCUUCCCUAGGCACCCUUGGAAGGAAGUGGAGGUUUUAGCCAGGAGGCAAGUACUGGGAU